CAUUACGGGAGGCAGCAGUAGGGAAUCUUGCGCAAUGGGCGAAAGCCUGACGCAGCCAUGCCGCGUGAAUGAUGAAGGUCUUAGGAUUGUAAAAUUCUUUUCACCGGGGAAGAUAAUGACGGUACCCGGAGAAGAAGCCCCGGCUAACUUCGUGCCAGCAGCCGCGGUAAUACGAAGGGGGCUAGCGUUGCUCGGAAUUACUGGGCGUAAAGGGCGCGUAGGCGGAUAGCUUAGUCAGAGGUGAAAGCCCAGGGCUCAACCUUGGAAUUGCCUUUGAUACUGGCUGUCUUGAGUUCGGGAGAGGUGAGUGGAAUGCCGAGUGUAGAGGUGAAAUUCGUAGAUAUUCGGCGGAACACCAGUGGCGAAGGCGACUCACUGGCCCGAUACUGACGCUGAGGCGCGAAAGCGUGGGGAGCAAACAGGAUUAGAUACCCUGGUAGUCCACGCUGUAAACGAUGAGGUGGUGCUAGUUGUCGGCUAUGCAUGCAUGUCGGUGACGCAGCUAACGCAUUAAGCACUCCGCCUGGGGAUGUACGGUCGCAAGAUUAAAACUCAAAGGAAUUG
rnacentral:rRNA from 1 species